rnacentral:lncRNA from 1 species
AAGGCCCCUGCAGUACUCGGUCAUUGAGUAGCUUCUGUGGGAACACUUACCUUCAGGCCCCAUGAACACUGUUGUGGAAUUCUUGUCAUUUUGGAAGUCUUUCACUUUUGUCUUUUUCAGUCAUAACAGAACCCAGGGCCACAACCCAGGUCCCAGAGGUCCUGUCUCACUCCCACAGCUGUCUCUUCAUAAUGUCAUUUGCUUCCACAAGCCCUCAGACUCGGAGUGAGAAAUUCAAUUGGAGGUAGCAAAUAAUUUGAACUUCUUGUACCCUAAUGAUUUUAUCAACCCCAUGCCCAGGUUGACAGCAACAGUUCAUGUCUGUUUCUGUUUUACUUAUCUGUUUAGUCCAUGGGUCUUGGGUUGGUUGGUAAUAGCUCUGGUUAGAGACCUAAGAGCUGGGAGUAGGGACUCUGGCAACCAUGCUUGAUUAGACUUAGCAGCUCUUGUUAUUUGGGGUGGAAAAUUGAAAUGAUCAAGUUUGGUGUUUCCUUUUGUCAGUUAGAAAAGCAAACAUUGUGUUUUCAUAAUAAAUGUCUUUUAACAAAAUUACUAAGGGUCACUCAUCUGGUGAGACCCUCCUGAGAGACACUCGUCACGCUAGUAUUAGUAGGUCAGCCAUCUGUGAUAAAAGUGUCCCUAAUUACCCCAAAGUGUGGUAAGAUUCUUUGGGCUCAUGCAGGGUCUGGCCAGUACCCUUCUCCACAUGCUGAUUUCUGGAUGUCCAUGAAGAAGGAAACUGAUGUUUAUAGUCUUAUUGUAUAGACUUUCAUGCUGUAAAAAAAAAAUUAGUAACCCCACAAAAUUAGGACUUUUUAAAAAUAGCCAGACCUGCAGCAGACUGAAGAAAGGAAGUGCAGCCUGGUGAGUGACUCUUACAGUGUCUUCAGCAGCCAAGCAGGCAUUUCCUGAGAGCCCCGGGAUGGACUCUGACUCUGCAGUGUGGCUGUUUAGUAGGACCCUUAGCCUUACACAGCUCCAGAGAGCCAUGCAAACCCUGUCUUCCUGACCGUCCUCAGGUGUCCCUUCCUUUCCUCCACUGACCUGUGGUGGAGGUUUGAUGAGCCCUCUAAACCUUCCUCUGUGUCUUAUAUGUAGCUGUAUCACUCCAUACUUACUGAAGGGGAUGUCGCAUCUAAGGGAAACUCAUCAAGAGAUGCCCAGAUGCUAUGUAUGUGAUGUACACAGUAAGCAAGCAUUUCCUUAGUGUCAGGUCUACAGUAUGUAGUAUGUGUAAAUAGGGGGCAAUUUGAUAGAGAUGUUGAAUUAAGUUAUAUAGCAUGUCAUUUGAUUGUUUUGCGGUCUCUUGUUACUUCCCAAUGCUGCACAUCUAGGUUGUUCUGAGGGGUGUGUGAUCUGCUCCCCCUUGUCAGGAGUGUACAUGUACACCAGGGACAUGGUACACUCCACAAAGGCAGCCCUGCUUGGAAAACUCUUAGCUCCAUAAUGGUGCCACUCAACUCCAGCUCACUCUUUUUCGUUCUGAUUUACUGUGAUGAUUCGAUGAAUGAGAAACACAGCACCCUAGGUGCUACGUGUUUCUGACAUUCUCAUAGUCUGUAGGAAAAUAAAAGUUUAUCCCACCAUCUAAUA